CAUGCCCGGCCUGCGCGGACGGGGGCCACCGACCAGCCCAAGGUCACGCAGCCACGUGGGUCCCUCCCGGCCCGAGCGCCGGUGUCUCAGUUCGCAAUGAAGGGAGCAAAGUGUCGCCUCCGAAUCUGUUACAGGGCCUUUUCCUAGAAGACCAGGGGGCUGAAGACAAAGGCUCACGUGAUUCCAGGGGACCCACCCGGCUAAUCCAGGAUAAUCUCUCCAUUUCAAGGUUGAGUGACAGAUUCCACACUGAACUCAAAAUCACGCUCUCCAAAGAUAAAGAAACUGAAGCUCAGAGAGGUGAAUGACCUUCUGGCGGUCACACAGCCAGGAAGAGGUGGAGCCUGGAUCCUCUGUCCCUGGCCCCUUUGGAGCAGGUGGGCUCCAAAGAUAUACUCUGCCGAUUUCUUAAGGGCUGCUGAAGGGUUGCUGCUAAUGACUCCCAGCUGCCCCUUCGCUGGAGACGAGCCCUCAGCCAAACGAGAGGCGUCCCCCGGAAGGCCGGCCCACCCUGCCUUCCUUUCCUGACCUGGGCAGAUGAUGGCUGAUGACCGGCUGAUGUGGUGCAAAAGGCCACCCCAAGCCUCAAGUUGUGGUUGGUGAAGAAGUUGGUCUGAUACAAGCUAAUCCACCAUAUCCAGAAGCAAUACAAAGAGCAUGGACUUUGGAGCCAGAACUCCAGGAUUCAAAUCUCAGUUCCAUCAUUUACUUGUCCUGUGAUCAUGAACAAGGCCUGUCUCCAGAUUCCUCACUGCCCCAGGAGCAUGUUCUGCUCAUUUUGCCUCCACUCCUGUGCAUGAGUCCUCCCCUUUCUCCAGGACCACCGCUCUACUCAGAAAACCCACCCAAAGCACCGCCAUGGAGCCCUGGCCAGCAACUCCAGGUCAUACUGAACUCACCCCUUUCUGCAUUUCUACAGCCCUCAGCUGUAGAUUCUUUAGGGCAGAGGCUGGUUAAGAAAUCCGGGCCUGGUACCAUACCUGGUCGAGAGCAAGAAGGUUGGGAGAGUCUGGAGGAGAGGAGAAGCCCUGAAGGAAAACCCAUUGUGCCCGUCCCUGCCAUGAUGCCCUGGUUGGCGCCGGGCAGUGUGAAUGGUGGCCUGGACGACGUCUGCUGGCCUCCCAGCCAGGUGCACCAUGAGGGGUGCCGCGGGCCUGCCUUCCGCUGUUGGUGGUGGGUGGCAGCAACGGCCAGGAGGGGGAAGAUGGAAAGUUCAUGUUUAUCACGUCUGGGGCUUUGCCUGCCUUGUCCUUAAUCAGUCUACAGCUAAUUAGUCGCCUCCCCCAGCUGGCAGAGCACCAUGACUAACCAAGGAAAAGGCUGAAGUCAGCCGGCCUCCUGCUCAGGGGAAUCCUGGCUCAUUGGGUGAGCCCUUCUUGCCUGGGGCAUUAUGAGGGCCACAGGAUGCAGGAGCUCCUCUGGAAAGAAUCUGAGGUUGUUGGGAAGGGGCCCUGGGGUCCUGUGCCACCUAGGGUGACUGUAGGGGGAAGGAUGUGGCAUCAUCCUCUUUGAUGUAACGUAAAGGCUCACUUUCCCAAACUCACUUGCAGCCAGGAGAGGCAUGGGACACAGUUCAGACCAAUGGGGCAUAAGCUGAAACCUGCUGGGGGCUCUUAGGAAGGCUUUUCCUUUCUUGAUAAAGGGCGUUGGAUGCUGCUGGUGCUGGCCCUUCUUGCCCUUUCUUCUUUUUGCCUUGAAUGCAGACUUGAAGGCUGGAGCUGCAGCAGCCAUCAGCUUCUAUGAGGGAAAGACCAAGAGAAUUGUAAUGACACCAGCCAUGAGCUGACCAACCAAUGCCAGUAACUUGCCUACCUCCAGAUUUCUGUCAACUAGUGAAGCAGAUGAGAUCCAGUACAUGGGGAAACAAUGCAAGGAGAGGAAAAUGUGACCCCUGGACUUCCUUCUCACACAAGAUGAGAUGCUUCAUUGAACCUACAUCCAUCUGGGCCCACAAGGCUGACAAGAGAGGAGAACGCUGGGGCCUGGGAAGUGUGGAGUCAAGGCCAACCUCCCGCUGCAGGGGCUGGCAGCAGGAGUGGGCACGGCUCAGAGGCGCAGUCUGGGGCACCUCCGAAAGCAGCCGGCCUCCUCCCCAUGGGGUCAGACUGAGAGGCAGGCUGUCGUCAGACUCAGGCCCUGCUGUCCCUCCUCUCGGAUGAGACACACUGUCAGGGAAGGAUGGCCCCGCCCCAGGCUUCCCUCCCGCCUGGCCCCAUCUUGCAUUUACAGAACCAGAUCAGAGGAUAGGAUGCUGGGAAGGAUGCUUUAUUAUGAUGAUGAUUCUAAAUAAAAUUAUUUCUUGGUAUGUAGCCUACACACAAAAAGAGGAGAAAUCAUAGGUGCUCAGCUCAAUGAAUCCUCCAAAAAUGAACACACUCAGUUCAAGAUAUAGGACAUCCACCAAAGUCAGGAAGCUGCCAGCCACACUCCCCUCCCCGUCACUCCCUCCUUCCCCAGUCAGCCACUAUCCUGAAUAUUAUUUUCUAAAACCAUUAGAUUUCAUUUUCCCAAAUUUUUUAUUUUGGAAAAAUUUAAAUCUACAAAGUAAAUGGAAAUAAUAGAAUAGGAGCACCCAUAUACUCACCUAGAUAUACCAAUUGUUAACAUUUUGCAACAUAUUCUCUCUCUGUCUUUCUGUCUCCCUUUCUGUCUCUCUUUUUUCUCCCCCCAUCCCUACACACACAAUUUUCUGAACCAUUUGAGAGUUAUUGGCAGACAUCAUGACACUUUAUCCCUAAAUAUUUCAGCACACAUCCUAAGAAGGAGAACAUUUACAUACUGCAGUUAUUACAAUAAAGAAAUUUAACAUUGCUACAAUAUCAUUAUAUAAUAUACAGUUGAUAUUCAUAUCUCCCACUUAUCCCAAUCAUAAAUAUAUAAAUAAAUAUAAUAUAUAUAUCCCAAUGAUAUUAUGUAUACAUAUAUAUAUGUGUGUGUGUGUGUGUGUGUAUAUAUAUAUGAAAGCCUGGAACACACUUUGCAUUUAGUUGUAUGUCUCUUUCGUCUUCUCUAAUCUAGAAUAGGUUCUCUCUCUCUCUCUCUCUCGCUUUUUUUUUUUUGGUCUUUCAUGACACAUUUUUGGAGCAUAUAGUCAAGUUUUCUAGAAUAUCUCUGAGUUCGGAUUGUCAGAUUAUUUCCCCAUGAUUGAAUUUAGUUUAAACAUUCUUGGCAAGAAUGCUAUAGGAGUUUUAUUAUUAUGUAUAUGUUCUUUAUAAUUAAUUAUUAAUGAGAGUAGCUGCAACUUAUUGAGUGCCCAUGAUGUGACGUGGGGAUUUUGAUGUCCACUUCACAAACCAGGUAACUGAGGCAGAGAGUGGCUAAGUACUUUUCCCAAGGUCAGAUGGUCAGAAAGAGGAAGUGCCAGGAUUAGGCUUGUCUGACCCCAGUGCCCAUGCUCAUAGCCCGUUCAACCCACUGUCAGAGAUGACUGGUCCCGCUGGAAGUAGACCUGAGGCUGUGCCCUGGAGGACAGGGACUGCGUUAUGUUCUCUGCUGAAUUCCAGGCUUAGCCAGGGCCAAACCCAGAGCAAGGGUCCAUGAUUGUUUAUUAAAUAAAUGGAUGAAUGAUUGUUUUAUGGACAAAGGUUAGCAUGGAGUCCAUGGACCACUGGCAUCAAAAUCACCCAGAAAACUCAUCAGAAAUACACAUCUGUGGGCCCCACUGCCAACCCACAGAAACUGAAUCUCUGUUGAUAGGACCCAAGGAUCUAUGUUAGGUUUUCCUGAUACCCAGAUAUAGACAAAAUUAAGUGAAAAAAGCAAGUUUCAAAACAGGGUGUGCUGCAUAAUUCCAUGUCUUUUUCUCUGUGUUUUAAGGUUACAUGGUUACAUACAGAGUUACCGUUUCUUUUUGUUUGUUUGUUUUUUGGCUGCAUUGGGUCUUUGUUGCUGCGCGUGGGCUUUCUCUAGUUGUGGCAAGUGGGAGCUACUCUU